rnacentral:tRNA from 1 species
GUCCGGAUGGCGGAAUCGGCAGACGCAGCAGACUUAAAAUCUGCUUCCUUCGGGAGUACGGGUUCAAGUCCCGUUCCGGAUACCA